rnacentral:rRNA from 1 species
ACGGGGGGAGCAAGCGUUGUUCGGAUUUACUGGGCGUAAAGGGCGCGUAGGCGGUAGCACAAGUCAGUUGUGAAAUCUCCGGGCUUAACUCGGAAAGGUCAACUGAUACUGUGCGACUAGAGUGCAGAAGGGGCAACUGGAAUUCUCGGUGUAGCGGUGAAAUGCGUAGAUAUCGAGAGGAACACCUGCGGCGAAGGCGGGUUGCUGGGCUGACACUGACGCUGAGGCGCGAAAGCCAGGGGAGCGAACGGGA